GACGGGGGAUGCAAGCGUUAUCCGGAAUGAUUGGGCGUAAAGGGUCCGCAGGUGGCCCGGUCAGUCCGCUGUCAAAGCCUGGGGCUCAACCCUGGAGAGGCGGCGGAGACCACCGGGCUUGAGUCCGGUAGGGGCAGAGGGAAUUCCCGGUGGAGCGGUGAAAUGCGUAGAGAUCGGGAAGAACGCCAAGGGCGAAGGCGGCUACCUGGACCAGCACUGACAGCUGAGGCCACGGAAAGCGUGGGGAGCAAACAGGA
rnacentral:rRNA from 1 species